rnacentral:rRNA from 1 species
AACGAACGCUGGCGGCGCGCCUAAUACAUGCAAGUCGAGCGAGAAGGUGUAGCAAUACACUUGUAAAGCGGCGAACGGGUGAGGAAUGCAUGGGUAACCUACCCUCGAGUGGGGAAUAACUAGCCGAAAGGUUAGCUAAUACCGCAUACGUUUCCGGAACUUCGGUUUCGGAAAGAAAGCAAUACCGUGGGUAUUGCGCUCCUGGAUGGGCUCAUGGCCUAUCAGCUUGUUGGUGAGGUAACGGCUCACCAAGGCUUCGACGGGUAGCUGGUCUGAGAGGACGAUCAGCCACACUGGCACUGCGACACGGGCCAGACUCCUACGGGAGGCAGCAGUAAGGAAUAUUGCGCAAUGGACGAAAGUCUGACGCAGCGACGCCGCGUGGGGGAUGAAGGUCUUCGGAUUGUAAACCCCUUUCGGGAGGGAAGAUGGAGUGGGUAACCACUUGGACGGUACCUCCAGAAGCAGCCACGGCUAACUUCGUGCCAGCAGCCGCGGUAA